rnacentral:rRNA from 1 species
GAUGAACGCUGGCGGCGUGCCUAAUACAUGCAAGUCGAGCGAACAGACGAGGAGCUUGCUCCUCUGACGCUAGCGGCGGACGGGUGAGUAACACGUGGAUAACCUACCUAUAAGACUGGGAUAACUUCGGGAAACCGGAGCUAAUACCGGAUAAUAUAUUGAACCGCAUGGUUCAAUAGUGAAAGACGGUUUUGCUGUCACUUAUAGAUGGAUCCGCGCCGCAUUAGCUAGUUGGUAAGGUAACGGCUUACCAAGGCAACGAUGCGUAGCCGACCUGAGAGGGUGAUCGGCCACACUGGAACUGAGACACGGUCCAGACUCCUACGGGAGGCAGCAGUAGGGAAUCUUCCGCAAUGGGCGAAAGCCUGACGGAGCAACGCCGCGUGAGUGAUGAAGGUCCUCGGAUCGUAAAACUCUGUUAUUAGGGAAGAACAAAUGUGUAAGUAACUAUGCACGUCUUGACGGUACCUAAUCAGAAAGCCACGGCUAACUACGUG